rnacentral:lncRNA from 1 species
UUUUUGAUUCAUCAUCUGAUCUGUGUUAAAUUUCCCAGAUCUGUACAAGAUGAUCAACAGAAACAAUGGGGAUUUUGUUACAUAUGCUAUGAUGGACCUCUAACAGCUUGAGAGCGUGACAAUUUCACGCGAACGAAUUUCUAUUUUUACUCGAUGAUAACUGGGUGAACUCUAUGUCGGAUAAAGGCAAAAUAAUGUAACGGUGAAGAUGUUUUCGAUAAGUUCCUUUGCUUCUUUUCUGGCUUCGGCUAACAUAGAGUUCACCUGGCUAUCAUCGGGUAACAAUGGAGGUUGUUUAACUUCUUAAACAGUGGGUCAAUUCGUGUGGUUCAAAUGUCACUCUCUCAUGCUGUUUAAGGUACUUUAUAGGUUGAUCUAAUCUCAAAGACAUUGAUCAAGAAUUUCAAGGGUGAGUUAAAGGACACUUCUUUAGCAGAAGCUGAGACAAAGCAGAGAUUGCUCGAAAACACCCGAAGUUCGAACAAUUCGAUCAAUAAUAGAAGAUAAUGUUUACAAAUCUAAUCAGUGGUAAUGAUUUGCAAGUGUUUAGUUUAUUUUGGCAUUUUCUAUAUCUUUUUGAUCAUGUUCUUUCUUUCUUUUUUUUAAUUGAUAUUUCUGACAGAUAUAUUUUAGGGUUUUGUUUUGUUUUGUUUGCUUUUUAAUGUUAAUUAAAAAACCCAUCUUCUUCGCAGCUUCCUACUUUCAAAAGUCUGAACCUUUAACCCUAGUUUACUAAUGUAAGUUACUUUUUUUAGGAAAAAAUAAAGGAGCAAAAAGUUCAACCAUUUCUGCUUUGUUUCUCUUAGUUCUUUUCAACCUAGUUUGACUUUAUUUUAUGGCAUUGGCUUCAACUUUUGUCUGCUUCUUUCUUUAUUAUUAUGAUUUUUUACAUAAUUAUGUUAGUGUGCAAAUCGCUUUCUUUGGGUUGUGAUUUUUGAAGUGUGUUAAGGUCUGGGUUUUAGAUGUGGAAGAUGCUUUGUCUUAAAGGUUGGUGAGUGUGUGGACCUGGUUUUUAGUUUCCCAUCUCCUUUACAUCUUUAACAUGACGCCUUUUUCUUCGUUUCCGUGGUUUGGUAAGCUCUAAAACAGCUUGCAUUUUUGUCUCUUUUCCUUUCAACUUCUCACCUCUUCCCAAUUUUCCACUCUUAAUCUUUGUAAUUUCUUCAUUGCUUUUUUCGCUACUUACUUUCUCUAACUUUGGCGCUUCAUUUUUUUCAUGUCUAGAUUCAAAGUGCUUUGCUUGUAAACGCUAAAUGCAUCUCCUUGGUUUGUUUUCUGGCUCAAUUCCCUGAUCUUUUGCAUGCAUCUUUGAAUUUUAACUUGGAAAACCAUCAAAUAUGUUCUAAGAUCUAUAUGCUUUUCAGCUGGUUUAUUUUCACCCAAUUUAGAGCUCUUUUUUAGUUAAAAUUUUUUGUUUGAAAGUUGAUUUUGAAAGCAAAAUCUGUAUAGAUUUCAUUUUGGUCAUUUGUUUUUCCUUGUUACUAUUUAUCUCUUUUUUUUUUUUUUCUUAAUUAUUGUGUGUGCAUGUGGCAAGGGCAAGAAAUGACAAAUAGCACUGUAAGUCAUAAUCAUGCAGCUCCAAAAUGGGACCCUUAAAAACCAUAUGGAUAUGAUGAAGAUGAAGGAUAGAGAAGCUGUUUGCGAGAAAAAAGCUGAUUUAGCGCUUUGUUGAUGCCGUGGAGAUGAGCACUCAAGACAAAGGGAGAACAACUUUCGGUUAAAAUCGAGAUAACUAUUUAACAGUUUGAACAAUUUGUGUGAUUUUUUUAUUAGUAAUUUUUUCAACCAUUUUAAAAUUAUCCUAUUGACCCAACCGGAAAAAUUGAUUUAAUUUAAAAUAUUUUUUAUUAUUUAUAAUUUUAAAAUUCAUAAAUAUAUAUAAAUUAUAAAAUCUAUUUUUUUUUCUUUCUCCCUAUUUAUUCUAAAAUAUUUUUUAUCGCACUGAAAUUAUCUCAUUAAUCAGUUAAUAAUAUAUUAAAAUUUUAUUUUCUUAACUAAUUGUGUGGUGGUUUAGUAAUUAGUUUAGGCAAAUACAAUAUUGAAAUAUGAUUGCUUUGAAUUAACGCUUAUCUAUUAUUUAUUCGUAAGUAAGUAUAAUCUAUCAUUGUUAUGUCAUUUAAAAUGAAAUGAUCAUUUUGGAAGGAAGAAUUCAAGUUUGUGGUUGAUCAGGUUUUUUUAGGGGAUUUAUUUUAAUGUUUUUGUUAAUCAUCUCUCUCCGUCGUGCCUUUAAAAAAUUUCACCUCUCAUGUCAUAAUCCUUUUUAUAGAUUAUCUUGGCAUAAUAUUUUGCUAUUUCUUCCUAUUUUGGCAUCUUCUAAUUUAUGUUUUAUUAAAAUUUUAAAAAUUAUCAUAAUUUUUAAAAUUUUCAAUAUUCUUAUAAUUUUUAUAAUUUUUAAUCAUUUAAAAAAUUAAUGACGUCAUUAAAAAAUUUACAAUUUCAAGUACUGAAUAACUUAUAUAUAAAUUUACGAUUUUAAUUACUGAAAUUCAUAAAAUUUAAACCUAACAAUGUUAGUCAUCACGUGAUACAAAAUGAAAUAUAUCAAAAUAACACCAACAUAAAAUAUAUCAAUGUCUCAAAAUCCAUAUAAUGUUAGAUAUUAAUCUUUCAAAGUCUAUAUUAGUAUAAAGCAUCUCAAAUAUGAUUAUAACAAAACAAAAUAUAUGAAUACGAUGCAGAUAAACAAGUAAAUUUAGAAACAGGUAAAUUAUAAAAAUAAUUAUUUUUGUAUUCAAUAACAUAUAUUAAUCAUUUAAAUAAUAUAUUAUUAAUUUUAAAGUGAGUGCUAAUCUAAUAUUAAUCUAACGUUAAUCCUUUAAUUUAUAAUUUAUUCGUAAAUAAUGGAAAGUUACAUAAUUUCUUAAAAUAUUUUAAUAAUUAAAGCAAAAUAAAAAGAGUAGGAAUCAAAUUGACAAAAAUUAUAAAAAUUGAAGGAUUAAUUGUACUUAAUUUUUUUAAUAGAGUUAAUAGAAAUAGUUAAUGGAGAAACUGAAAAUGAACAAAUGAAAAAUAAAAAAUUAAAUUUGAGCAAAUGAAAAUAGAAAAAUCAACUCCUAAGUAUGGGAAAUUGCAUGUCUUUUGAGUCUAAAUUUGUUCAUUUCAUAAACCAAUUUUAGGACAACGACAUCAAUAAAGUGGAGUACAAAGAUUUUCAAGGCUUAGAAGAUGCAUUAGCAAACACUACCUGGGAGGAAGUUCCAGACUACCUCAAACUUAUUGGGAUCCGAAUAGAAGAUGCUCAUGGUAAAGCUACUGAGUUUUCCCAUAUUAAAAUAUAAAUUCUGGUCUGCACUGUAAUUAAAGGGAUGAAAGGUAUGUCACUUGAGGAUUUGGAUUGGGGUACAUUGAAAAAGUGGGCAGCUGCGCUGAAUUACGCUAAUGAACAUGGUUUUCAAGUAGGAUUUGCUAAUAAUCUGUUUGAGAGGAAUGUGGUUGCCUACUUUCAGAAAAAUGAGCUCUAUCAGCUUUCAUAGUUUAUAUUUAAUCCUCUAUCUAACAUUCUACUAUGUUUUAAUGUCUCAUAUUGCGUCAAGUAUGUUUAUGGUUUUCAAUGUCUAAAAUCAUGAGUUGUUGUAUUGAACAUGUUUUUGUAACAUCCGCGUUUUAACUUGGGGUUAGGUACAGUAAUGGAUCGGGUCAAGAAUUAGUAUAAAAUUUUUAAAAUAUAAUAAAUAGGAAUUUUGAGUAUUAAAUUAGGAAGUAUAUAGAUUCACUAAGAAAUUAGAAAAAAAAAUACUCUUUAGAUAGGAAAUUUUAAGAUAGAUACAUUAAUUUAGUUGAAAGAAUAAAGAAAUUGUUGUGGCCAAAGUAGGAAAAAUAUUAAGUUAGGAGAUAUAUAAUAGUAGAGGAAAGGAAUGAAGGAUUAAAAAAAAAAUUAAUCAAAGUGAUAUAUGAGUCAUAUUACGAAAUAUGAAAGAUGAGAAAGGACAAAAUGGUAAUUAGUCAAGUGGAUAUUUAUUCGAUGAUGGGUAAAAGUACAAAGAUGGAUAGCUUAAGGACUUAGUAGCAAUUUGACUAUUUUAAUUAAAAGAUGCGAUAUUUUAGCUGUAGGGAUAAAUUUUAAAAUUAUAUAUAAAUUUUAAUUUAAUGUGUAAUUAUAUAUAUAAAUUUUAAUUUAGUAUAAUUAUGUAAGUGAAACUCUAACUGUGGUUCAAAUGUAUAAUUUAAAUUUAAAUUUAAAUUUAAUCUUAAAUAAAUAAAUAAAUAAAUUUAUUUAAAUAAAUAAAUAAAUAUAAUUAUUUAUAAAUACAAUAUAUAAAUAAAUAAUUUUUUUAUCAAUAAUUAUAUUAAUAAUUUAUAAGAAUAUACUCAAAUCAAAAUCUCAUAAAUAAAUUUAUCAAAUUUAUCGACAGAGUUUUGAAACUUGUCAAAUUAUCGACAGAGUUUUAUUUUUUAUUCUCUUCUUCGUCCUUUAGUGUCUCCCGCCGCUUCCCUUAACCUCUAUUUAUUCAAUCCCCAAAUUGAAAUUAGGUCACUAUUCUCCCCUCUUAUCUCCACUGUAGACAAAACAAAGGAGUAGGUACUACUUAAUUUACCAGCUAAUUUUCGUCGCAGUCCAUACAUUUCUUGUUUUGAUCUUGCAGAAUUUCUUCUUUUAUUACUUGAGGAAACUUCGUUUCGUAGGGUUUCGUUUUGAUAGUUUAUAUAUCCGUGGUUUGAUCUUUUUUUGUUCCUCAGGUCUGUGCUAAAUGAGUGAAAACCAGGACAUCCCUUGCCCGAUUGGGGUUGUUUCUGACGCUGAGAGUGAUCCACCUGAAAAUGAACCUGAUGAUACCCAGAUGCAUUUGUCGAUGUCGACUGGAAGCAAGAAAAGAAGCCGGGAAAUCGAUGACUCAGUGGAGGCUAAAGGAAAAGCCCCCAAGAAAUGGACAUCGGGAAAAGAAGCUUUAAACUCCCUAUUUAUUCUAAAUAUUUUUUAUCACACUGAAAUUAUCUCAUUAAUCAGUUAAUAAUAUAUUAAAAUUUUAUUUUCUUAACAAAUUGUGUGGUGGUUUAGUAAUUAGUUUAUGCAAAUACAGUAUUGAAAUAUGAAUGCUUUGAAUUAACGUUUAUCUAUUAUUUAUUCGUAAGUAAGUAUAAUCUAUCAUUGUUAUGUCAUUUAAAAUGAAAUGAUCAUUUUGGAAGGAGGAAUUCUAGUUUGUGGUUGAUCAGGUUAUUUAGGGGAUUUAUUUUAAUGUUUUUGUUACUCAUCUCUCUCCGCCGUGCCUUUAAAAGAUUUCACCUCUCAUGUCAUAACCCUUUUUAUGGAUUAUCUUGGCAUAAUAUUUUGCAAUUUCUUCCUAUUUUGGCAUCUUCUAAUUUAUGUUUUUAUUAAAAUUUUAAAAAUUAUCAUAAUUUUUAAAAUUUUCAAUAUUCCUAUAAUUUUUAUAAUUUUUAAUCAUUUAAAAAAAUUAAUAAUUUUCACAAAAUUUUAAUAAUUUUUACAACUUUUAAAUAUUAUUUAUACAUGUAUAGUUUUUAAGUUUUCUACAAACUUUAUAUUUUGUACAAGUUUUUUUAUAAUAAUAUUAUUAAAUUCAAUUAAUUUUUAAAUGAUAUUUUUGUUCCCAAUAAAAAAUUAAAACAAUUAUAAGUUUAGGACCUAAAUUGGAUCCAAAAAAUAAGUCAGUCUUCAAAAAGCAGUUUAAUUCAAAUAAUAAAUGAAAAUAAAAUAGGCUUAAAUACAUAUUAGGCACCAAACUUGGCAUCUUCUUUUAAUUUGAUGUUUAUGGUUUUUUUCCCAACUUGGUACCCGAACAACUUUUCGAUCUAUUAUUUUAGUGCUUUUUUGCAACUGUUUUCAUUUUCAAUGACGCGAUAAUACCAUUUUGUGGCACAUGAAAAAUAUUAUUUGAAAAUUUGAAAACUUCAAAUUUCUAUAAAAAUUCAAAUAUAUAAAUUUAACAAAUAUAAUUUUAAAAUUUAUAUAAAUUUUAAAAAAAUCUCAAAAUUUAAAAUAUAUGUAAAAACUGAAAAGAAAAUUACAAAAAUAACAUAAUUUGAGAGUGUCAAGAGUUUUAAAAUUAACGACGUCAUUAAAAAAUUUACAAUUUCAAGUACUAAAUAACUUAUAUAUAAAUUUACGAUUUUAAUUACUGAAAUUCAUAAAAUUCAAACCUAACAAUGUUAGUCAUCAUGUUAUACAAAAUGAAACAUGUAAAAAUAACACCAACAUAAAAAUAUAUCAAUGUCUCAAAAUCCAUAUAAUGUUUCAAAGUCUAUAUUAGUAUAAAGCAUCUCAAAUAUGAUUAUAACACAACAAAAUAUAUGAAUACGAUGCAGAUAAACAAAUAAAUAUAGAAACAGAUAAAUUAUAAAAAUAAUCAUUUUUGUUUUGAAUAACAUAUAUUAAUCAUUUAAAUAAUAUCUUAUUAAUUUUAAAGUAAGUGCUAAUCUAAUAUUAAUCUAACAUUAAUCUUUAAUUUAUAAUUUAUUCGCAAAUAAUGGAAAGUUACAUAUUUUUUUUAAAAUAUUUUAAUAACUAAAGCAAAAUAAAAAGAGUAGGAAUUAAAUUGACGAAAAUUAUAAAAAUUGAGGGAUUAAUUGUACCUAAUUUUUUAACAGAGUUAAUAGAAAUAGUUAAUGGAGAAUUUGAAAAUGAACAAAUGAAAAAUAAAAUAUUAAUUUUGAGCAAAUAAAAAUAGAAAAAUUAACUCCUAAGUAUAGGAAAUUGCAUGUCUUUUGAGUCUAAAUUUGUUCAUUUCAUAAACCAAUUUUAGGACAACGACAUCAACAAAGUGGAGUACAAAGAUUUUCAAGGCUUAAAAGAUGCAUUAGCAAACAGUGUCUGGGAGAAGUUCCAGACUUCCUCAAACCUAUUGGGAUCCAAGUAGAAGAUGCUUGUGAAAAAGCUACUGAGUUUUCUCAUACUGGAAUACAGAUUCUGGUAUGCGCUGUAAUUAAAGAGAUGGAAGAUAUGUCACUUGAGGAUUUGGAUUAGGGUACAUUGAAAAAGUGAGCAGCUGCGGAGGAUUUGCUAAUGAACAUGGUUUUCAAGUAGCAUUUGCUAAUAAUAUGUUGCAGAGGAUUUGCGUCAAGUAUGUUUAUGGUUUUCAAUGUCUAAAAUCGUGAGUUAUUGGAUUGAACAUGUUUUUGUAACAUCUGCGUUUUAACUUGGGUUAGGUACAGUAAUAGAUCGGGUCAAGAAUUAGUAUAAAAUUUUUAAAAUAUAAUAAAUAGAAAUUUUGAGUCUUAAAUUAGGAAGUAUAUAGAUUUAAUAAGAAAUUAGAAAAAAAAAUACUCUUUAGAUAGGAAAUUUUAAAAUAGAUAUAUUAAUUUAGUUGAAAGAAUAAAGAAAUUGUUGUGGCCAAAGUAGGAAAAAUAUUAAGUUAGGAGAUAUAUAAUAGUAGAGGAAAGGAAUGAAGGAUUAAAAAGAAAAUUAACCAUUAACCAAAGUGAUAUAUGAGUCAUAUCACAAAAUAUGAAAGAUGAGGAAGGACAAAAUGGUAAUCAUACAAAAUAUGAAAGAUGAGGAAGGACAAAAUGGUAAUCAUUCAAGUGGAUAUUUAUUAGGUGUAAUGAUGAUGGGUAAAAGUAAAAAGAUGGAUAGCUUAAGGACUUAGUAGCAAUUUGACCAUUUUAAGUAUAAAAAGUGGAGAAAUCAACCGACCAAACCUUUAUUCCCUACAUGUCUUUCCAUCAUAGUUUAACAAUCGAAGCUUCAAACCUUUAUUUAUUUUUUUAAAAAAAUUUACUUAGUAAAAAUUAAAGAGUUAAAGACUCAAUCAGCUAAUUUCUCAAAAUUUUAAACUUUCAUUACUUUUUAUGAAAUAAUUUAUUUUUAUUUAACUUUCAUAAUAACUUUGUGUUAAUUCUAUAUUUUUUCGUAAAAAACUUCUAAAAUUUUAUAAUGAAUAUUAAGAAUGGAUUCAAAGUAACACAAUUUUCAAAUUUUCAUUCAUUACUUUUUAUUUCUCACUAUUAUUCUUUUAGUCUCAUGUUUUUGCUUUGUUCAUUUGUAGUUUUCUACUGUUUUUGAAUUCUCAAACUGAUCAUAAUCUUAUAAUGGCUAAAAAAUUAAAGAGAUGGAAGAUAUGUCAUUUGAGGAUUUGGAUUGGGGUACAUUGAAAAAGUGGGCAGCAGCGCUGCAUUACGCUAAUGAACAUGGUUUUCAAGUAGGAUUUGCUAAUAAUCAGUUGCAGAGGAAUGUGGUUGCCUACUUUCAAAAAAAGGAGCUCUAUCAGCUCUCAUAGUUUAUAUUUAUUCCUGUAUCUAACAUUCUGCUAUGUUUUAACGUCUCAUUUUGCGUCAAGUAUAUUUAUGGUUUUCAAUUUCUAAAAUCGUGAGUUGGUGUAUUGGGUAUGUUUUUGUAACAUCCGCGCUUUAAUUUGGGUUAGGUACAGUAAUGGAUCGGGUUAAAAAUUAGUAUAAAAUUUUUAAAAUAUAAUAAAUAGGAAUUUUGAAUAUUAAAUUAGGAAGUAUAUAGAUUCAAUAAGAAAAUAAGAAAAAAAAAAUACUCCUUAGAUAGAAAAUUUUAAAAUAGAUACAUUAAUUUAGUUGAAAGAAUAAAUAAAUUGUUGUAGCCAAAGUAGGAAAAAUAUUAAGUUGGGAGAUAUAUAUAAUAGUAGAGGAAAGGAAUAAAGGAUUAAAAAGAAAUUUAACCAAAGCGAUAUAUGAGUCAUACUAGAAAAUAUGAAAGAUGAGGAAGGACAAAAUUUUAAUUAGCCAAGUGAAUAUUUAUUCGUUGAACAACGAUGGGUAAAAGUACAAAGAUGGAUAGCUUAAGGACUUAGUGGCAAUUUGACCUUUUUAAUUAAAAGGUGAAAUAUUUUAGUGGUAGGAAUAAAUUUUAAAAUUAUACAUUAAUUUUAAUUUAAUGUAUAAUUAUAUAUAUUAAUUUUAAUUUGAUGUAAUUACGUAGUAAAAUUUUAAUUGUGAUUGAAAAGUAUAAUUCAAACUUUAAUUUCAAUUUAAUUUUAAAUAAAUAAAUAUAUUAAUUUAUUUUUAUAUUAAAUAAAUAUAAUUCUUUAUAUAUACAAUAUAUAAAUAAAUAAUUUUAAAUAAAUAAUUAUAUUAAUAAUUUAAAAAAAUCGAAUCAAAUUAAAUCAAAAUCUCAUAAAUAAAAUUAUCAAAUUUAUCAAAUUUAUCGACAGAGUUUUGAAACUUAUCAAAUUCAUCGACAGAGUUUUUGUUCGUCCUUUAGUGUCUGCCGCCGCUUCCCUUAACUUCUAUUUAUUCAAUCCCCAAAUUGAAAUUAGGUCAUUAUUCUCCUCUCUUUCUCUUAUCUCCACUGGAGACAAAACCAAGGAGUAGGUACUACUUAAUUUACCAGCUAAUUUUCAUCGCAGUCCAUGCAUUUCUUGUUUUGAUCUUGCAGAAUUUCUUCUUUUAUUACUUGAGGAAACUUCGUUUAGUAGGGUUUCGUUUUGAUAGUUUAUAUAUCCGUGGUUUGAUCUUUUUUUGUACCUCAGGUCUGUGCUAAAUGAGUGAAAACCAGGACAUCCCUUGCCCGAUUGGGGUUGUUUCUGACGCUGAGAGUGAUCCACCUGAAAAUGAACCGGAUGAUACCCAGAUGAAUUUGUCGAUGUCGACUGGAAGCAAGAAAAGAAGCCGGGAAAUCGAUGACUCAGUGGAGGCUAAAGGAAAAGCCCCCAAGAAAUGGACAUCGGGAAAAGAAGCUUCAAACUCCCAGCAACAGCCAAAACCGAAAAGUGAAAAGAACUGUGGGGAAGCCGUGCAAAACAGAUUGAAAAAUUAUUUUGGAUUGGAUCUGUCUCUGGAUUUAGUCAUUUUGUGUUCUGGUUGUUUCAAGUUCAGACCGUCUUGAGUUUGAGUUCAAGUCAGUUUGAGUUUGCUUCAAUUUGGUUGUCCCAAACGAAGAAACUGUGGUUUUUGUAUGAAAUUGUGUAGUUUGUUGUGUAAUUUGUAUCGUGUGCGUGUGUGUAUGUUAAUGUUAUGUACUCGUCUUAAUAAGAAUUUGAAAUAUGUAAUUGGGUUAGUGUGUUUGUUUUUGUUGGAUUUAGAGGUGUUCGUGGUUUGGAUUUGAGUUGGGUUUAAGUAUAAUAUCAACAUACUUAAUUCUUGUUCAAAUUCGGCUUGAUUUAAAAUUUAAGCUUAAAAUUUUACUUAAGUCCGUUUAUAUUUACAACAGAUUAAUUAAAAUUCAUUUUAAGGGUGGGUUUGGACGAGCGAUUAAGUACAGAUGCGUUUAGUUUAUUUUUUGUCUCACGCUUUAGUAUUACUGCAGUAUCUAAUUUUGCCGCCACCGUUAUUUUUACACUAAUUGUAAGUAAACACAUCGUUCAUCUAAAUUCAUCUUAAGUCAAUUUAUAUUAUUUUAAAAAUAUUUAUAUCAUAUUAUUUUAUUAUUUAAUAAUUCUAUACAUUUUUUAUUUAUUAAAUUUUUUAAUAGUGAUCUUAACAUCAUUUUAAUGUUUAUACUAGUGUAAUAUUAUAUAUUUACUAUAGAUUUAUUUUUUAAUAUGUUUUAAAUUACAUAAUAUAUAAAAAUAACAUAAUGUAAAGUAUCGUAAACUUAAAAUGGGUUGGGUUGGAUCAGGUCGGGCAUAAAAUGUUUAAACUCGAGCUUAACCCGUAUUUUAAACGGGUUUAAUUUUUUUUGUUCAAGUCCAUUUUUCGGAUCUAUUAUUUUUUCCAAACCCUCCCAAUUUUCGCACAGGCCUUUGAACCUAUACGAGUAACCCAAACCAUUAACAAGUCAAAUUCCACCUGUGAUAUAUAUGUGUUCAAAGGCAAAUUUCGUUAGUUUGAAUAUACAAAUUCAAUUCAUGAUUACGAUAUUAUUACUCAAUUGGGCUUAAAGUAAGAAGAUUAGUUAACACUUUUUUUAUGCAUGCGCAUAAGACUCAAUAGAAUUAGUAUCGCAAGGUCAAAGUCGACGCUAAGUUGAAAUUAAACAUUUAUUUAGGGCUAGUUUAAUAUUACUUUUCAAAAGUGCUUUUAAAAAAUGUCGUGAAAAGUUAUUUUUGAAAAGUUUAGUUUAAGAUUUAGUGUUUAGUAUUAUUGUCAAAAAAUACUUUUAAAAGAUAAAAUAUUCAUUUUAAAUAUGAUAUUAUCAAGUAAUAAAUAUGUGUUUAAAUAAUGUUCAAAUUAGUUAAUAUUAUUAUAUUUUAGUAAGAACAUAAAAUAAUAAUUUCUUAUAACCUAUUGUUAAUAUUUUAAUAUAUGAAAUAUAAAUCUUAAAUAUUUUUAAGCAAUAAAUAUUAAUUAUUUAUAAAAUUUAAUUAGAAUCUAUAAAUUAUAUUUUUAAUAAUUAAAUAUAACCAUUAAAUAUUUGUAAUUAGAUAUUAACACAUUUGUAAUUAAACAAUAAGAACAAAAAAAAAGGGAAAGUAUAUGUUGUUGGAAGGGUGAAAAUUUAAUGAAGCAUCAAAAGUACUUUUGGUAGGAGAAAAGCUAAAAAUUUUUGAUAAAAAAAAUACUUGUUUAGCACAACCUUUCUUCUAAAAAUAUGUUUUUUUUACGCAAUACUAAACAAUGCCAUACAAGACUUUGUUUCAAAGAAUUUUCAAAUAAAAAAACUAUUGUGAUUGGAGGACCAUCACUAGAGGCCUGCCCUAAAUAUGGGAAGGUUCGGGUAAAAAUAUAUGCUCGAAAUAUGAGUUUAGGCAAAAAAAUGAGGCCCGUUUAGAAAACGGGUCGGGCGUCGGGCACCACUUUUUUGGCCUGGGCCCGGCCUGAAUAUAAUAAAUAUAUAUUUUUAUUUUUAAAAUAAUUUUUGGUGUUUAUUAAAAAAAUGGGCCGGGCCAGGCCGGGCUCGGGCUUAGGAUUUUUUCCCAGGCCCAGGCCUAAGAGGCGGGCAAAAAUUUUUUUGGGCCCGGCCCGACCCAUGGACACCUUUAACCAUCACCAAGUAGAGAAUGUUGAUGCUUUUUAAGUAUAUGGAUUUAAUCUAAAUUUUUUACAUAAUGUAGGAGCCAAAAUUAAAAUUUAACUAUUAUUUUAUAAUGUAAAAAAAGUACUCUAAAUUUAUUUAAACCUAUCAAAUUGUUUUAAAAAAUUAUUUUUUGGGGAGUUGGUGGUUUGCGCCGAUGCAGGAAGUUGGGCGUGGCAGAACAAAGCCGACGCAAAAGCUUAGGGGUGAUUUAAUCAAAUAGAGUAAAAUUUUUUUUUGUUAAUAAUUUCAUGAAUCAUAUUUUAUCAUAUUUUAUCAAAUUAAGUGAAAUAAAAUUUAAAUUAAGGUGAAUUAAGUAAAAUUAUUUGAAUUAAAUUAAAAAAUUAAACCUAUUAAAUUAAAAUUUUACUAUAAUAUAAAAUUAAAACUAUAUAUCUUUGAAAUUUUUUUAAAGUAAAGUAAAAAUUAACUCUUUGGUAGUUGCCCAGUCCUUUUUUUUUUUUAGUAAAAUUCUCACCGACGACUUUCUUGGUUUCAUCCGCUUUACUCUUUGGUCGUUGCCCAUUCCCCCUUUUUUUUUUUUUUUUUUUAGUUUUGAAACUUAUCAAAUUUAUCAAUAGUUUUUAUGUUUUUUUUCUUCUUUCGAGAAAAUCAUGUUCGUCCUUUAGUGUUCGCCCUUUAGUGUCACCCGACUUCUAGUUAUUCAAUCCCCAAAUCGAAAGAAAAUCAUGUUCGUCCUUUAGUGUCCCCCGACUUCUAUUUAUUCAGUCCCCAAAUUGAAAUAAGGUCAUUAUUCUCCCCUUUUAUCUCCACUGUAGACAAGUCCGAGGAGUAGGUACUACUUAAUACCAGCUCAUUUUCAUCGCAGUCCAUACGUUUCUUGUUUUGAUCUUGCAGAAUUUCUUCUUAUAUUACUUGAGGAAACUUCGUUUCGUAGGGUUUCGUUUUGAUAGUUUAUAUAUCCGUGGUUUGAUCUUUUUUUGUUCCUUAGGUCUGUGCUAAAUGAGUGAAAACCAGGACAUCCCUUGCCCGAUUGGGGUUGUUUCGGACGCUGAGAGUGAUCCACCUGAUAAUGAACCGGAUGAUACCCAGAUGCAUUUGUCGAUGUCGACUGGAAGCAAGAAAAGAAGCCGGGAAAUCAAUGAUUCAGUGGAAGCUAAAGGAAAAGCCCCCAAGAAAUGGACAUCGGGAAAAGAGGCUUCAACCUCCCAGCAACAGCCAAAACCGAAAAGUGAAAAGAACUGUGGGGAAGCUGUGCAAAACAGAUUGAAAAUUUUCCACCAUCAAAUUGACAGACGAAGAAAGACGGUAAAGUGUCCUAAUUGAACUAAGUAUUUCAUAUUAGAUUCACAUUAAAAACUAAGAAUUUCAUAUUAGAUUCACUUUUUUAUUAUCUUUUAUGCAUACAUUUUGAACGUAAGAAGAUCCCAUGUCAUCUGGUAAGUAUUGGACUAUUUUCUAAACAGACAAUACACAACAAUACAUCAGAACUGUACAGUUUGGAAAUCCUUGCAUCAGCAAUAUCUUUAUAUCUUGUUUUUUAACACUUAUUUUUGUGUAUAUAUUUGGUGGAAUGAAGGACAAAAUGAGAGAUUUGGAAUUUCUGACAUGCGUAACACGGAAAUCCUUUCCUGUACCACUAAAAAUUCCUGCCUCCUUCAAGCAAUUCAAAACGCGGUGGCCAAUGCGUCCUGAUCUCCAAAGCAUUCUCCAAAAGAUCCAGGACAUCAAGGCCAAAUUCAAAGAUCAUCUUUUAACAGAAGAUAAGGUGAAUGAGGAAUUGGAUACAGUAAAAGAUAAGUUAAAUGAAUUAGAUCAAAAACGACCAGAGGUACACUAAUGAUUACAAAUUUAAUUACUAAGUUUGCUUUCAUGAUCUAAAUCUCCAAUUUAACUUUCUAAAUUGAUUUUUCAGGAACAAACAAGGGACCCUGAUGCAGUCUUCUUUAACACUAAGGUAUGCACAUUUCUUAUCAUUGAUAUUAACUAGCAUAGUGUUAUUAUUUCUUAAAUAAGAUAAACUUUUCUCGUUUGUAAAUCACUCAUGCACAGACCUGUUUUUUCAAAGGUUUUUUAACGUGUUUAGAGGAAUCUUGGAUGGUUAUAUUAAAUAUAUGUAUCCGAAUGUGUCGGUACAUGGACACUUCAAGCAAAAAUGAAGAGUCUGAACAACCUAGAUUUUCAGUAUUAGACCACCUAAUGUUUAGGACUCUCCCUGCUUCUCGUGUCCUGCAUGGACUUUUGCAUUGAAAACUAUACAUAUUGUUGAAUCUAAGCAUUGUAUACAUACUUUUGCAUGUAUAUAUAUGUUUGAAGCUACAAACUUGAAUAUGCAUAUCUUGAUGUCUUUAUUUAUUUAUUUAUUUUUUUUUGUAGUAUAUCAUGUCUCGAUGUAUCAAAUUCGUUCUUAGACUUACCCUUGUAAAGUUUUUGUCUCCUUCUCAAUCUUUUAUUUAUAUUUCUCUUAAAUUUCAUCAGGACACCAACAUGGGGACUGGGACUCUAACAAAAGAGGUAUGAUAUAUGCAUACAUACAUAUAUUGCAUUGGGAAUCAGCUGUUUUAAGAAGCAUUUGGAAACUUGGAUUUCAAAAGUAGUGCAAGUUAAAUGAUAGAAUGUAAAUAAAAUGUAUUGUUUAUAGUUAUUUCUCAGAUACAUAUAUUUAUUGAAUGGGUGUAAGUAAUGAAUUUGGAAGUCAUGUUUUUUCAAUUAAAAAAAUUCAAAUACAUAGUCGCAUUAGAUCUCAAUGUUAUGGAAGAAAAUGUUGCUGCAAACUCUGAUGUUAUUCUGUUAUUUUCUUAUGCCUAUUAGCCGUUGUUGAUAAGCACCGUUUUGGUUCUAUGAACCAUUAAUGAAACUGAGCGUUUUGCUGAAGCCUUCUCAUUAGUGAAACAGUGCGAACUGGAGAGGGAUUACAGCUGUCGAGUAACAGCCACAGUAACCACCUCUCCUAACUGUUGCCGAGUUUCCCAUUCCGGGAGAAUGGCUGGGGAAAAACGGUUAUGCAGUUUUUGAAUCGAAGAAUUCUAUUGUUCCCUUCUCUCACUCGAUCUUCUUCUUCUUCUUCCCCCCUCUUUCUCCGCUAUUCUCUCUGGUUCUUGAGUGCAUUCAUAACACUCAACUGAUUUAUAUAUAAUUAUAUACACAUCAUUUUCUGUAAUUUAUAAGACAGAUGAAAUCAAAAUCAAAAUUUUGAAACUUCAAUAUGGCUACUAAAAAAUUAUGACUUGUAUUCUAUGUUUGUUGUUUUAGUUUUGUUCAGCAUAUCCAUGGCUUUUUUCUCUUGAUCAAAACCCAGAUCAAGGUCAUGGAAGUUUGUCAACUCUUGAAGGAAUACAGUCUCUAUUGAAGAGUUUGGAAAACCAACUUUAUGACGAAAACAACAAUAAAGUGUCUGUCAAAGAUUUCGAAGGAUUAGAAGAGGCAUUGAAGGAAACUAAUGCCAUGGAUCUUCUUCCUGACUACCUCAGACCUAUUGCGAACCAAAUCGAAGAGGCUCGUGGGAAAGCUACUGGGAUUGCCCACGGUUAUGUUCAGGUUUUGGUCUGCGCUGCUAUCAAGGAGAUGCAAGAUUUGGCACCCGUGGAGAUGGAUAUGUUGAAAAAAUGGGCAGCGGCGCUCAAUUAUGCUAGGCAACAUGGUUUUCAAGUGACAUUUGCUGAUCAUUUACUGAGGAAGAAUUUUGAUGCCUACAUUCAUAAUAAAUUUGGGUUGGGUUGGUUCGGGUUGUAAAAUUUUCCAAUUAUUUUGGAUUGGAUCUGUCUCUGGAUUUAGUCAUUUUAUGAUCUGGUUGUUUCAAGUUUAGAUCGUCUUGAGUUUUGAGUUCAGGUCAGUUUGAGUUUGCUUCAAUUUGGUUGUCCCAAAUGUAGAAACUUUGUGGUUUUUGGUACGAAAUUGUGUAGUUUGUUGUGUAAUUUGUAUUGUGUACGUGUGUGCAUGUUGAUGUUAUGUAAUCGUCUUAAUAAGACUUAUGUUGGUGGUAUUUUUCAUGUUUCAUUUUUGUACCAGUAUUUGGAAUUUGAAUUAUGUAAUUGGGUUCGUGUUUGGUUCUAGAGGUGUUCAUGGGUUUGGAUUUGAGUUGAUUUAUAUUUGCAAAAGACCAAUUGAAAUUCAUUCUAAAGGUAGGUUUGGAUGAGCGAUUUGGUGUGGAGCUUAUUUUUUGUCUCAUGUUACAGUAUUGCUACAAUAUGUAAUCUUAUCGCCACCGUUGUUUUUACACUAACCGCAGGUAAACGUACUGCUCAUCCAAAUCCACCCUAAGUUUGCUUAUAUUUAAAAAAUAUAUAUUUAUAUCAUAUUAUUUUAAUAUUUAAUAAUUCUAUAUAUUUUUAUUUAUUAAUUUUUUUAUAUAGUGAUCUUAACAUCAUUUUAAUGUUUAUACUAGUGUAGUAUUAUAUAUCUAGUGUAGGUUUGUUUUCUUAAUAUGUUUUAAAUUACAUAAUAUAUAAAAAUAACAUAAUAUAAAGUAUCAUAAACUUAAAAUGGGUUUGGUUGGGUUGGGUCGGGUCGGACAUUUAAUGUUCAAACUCGAGCUUAGCUCGUAUUUUAAACGGGUUUAAUUUUUUUGUUCAAGUCUAUUUUUCGGAUCUAUUAUUUUUUUCAAACUCUCUCAAUUUUCGGACAGGCCUUCGAACCUAUACGAGUAACUCAAACCAUUAACAAGUCUAUUUGCACUUGUGAUGUAUAUGUGUUCAAAGGCAAAUUUUGUUAGUUUGAAUAUGUAAAUUUAAUUCAUGAUUACGAUGUUAUUACUCAAUUGGGCUUAAAGUAAGAGGAUUAGUUAGACUUUUUUAAUGCAUGCGCGAUAGACUCAAAAGAAUUAGUAUCUCAAGGUCAAAGUUGACGCUAAGUUGAAAUUAAACAUUUAUUUAGGGCUAGUUUAAUAUUACUUUUCAAAAGUACAUUUAAAAAGUGUAGUGAAAAGUUAUUUUUGAAUAAUUUAGUUUAAGAUUUAGUGUUUAGUAUUAUUGUAAAAAAAAUACUUUUAAAAAAUAAAAUAUUAAUUUUAGAUAUGAUAUUAUCAAGUAACAAAUAUGUGUUUAAAUAAUGUUCAAAUUAGUUAAUAUUUUUUCUCCCUAUUUAUUCUAAAUAUUUUUUAUCACACUGAAAUUAUCUCAUUAAUCAGUUAAAAAUAUAUUAAAAUUUUAUUUUCAUAACUAAUUGUGUGGUGGUUUAGUAAUUAGUUUAGGCAAAUACAGUAUUGAAAUAUGAUUGCUUUGAAUUAAUGUUUAUCUAUUAUUUAUUCGUAAGUAAGUAUAAUCUAUCAUUGUUAUGUCGUUUAAAAUGAAAUGAUCAUUAUGUAAGGAGGAAUUCUAGUUUGUGGUUGAUCAGGUUAUUUAGGGGAUUUACUUUAAUGUUUUUGUUACUCAUCUCUCUCCGCCGUGCCUUUAAAAAAUUUCACCUCUCAUGUCAUAAUCCUUUUUAUGGAUUAUCUUGGCAUAAUAUUUUGCAAUUUCUUCCUAUUUUGGCAUCUUCUAAUUUAUAAUUUUUAAUCAUUUAAAAAAUUAAUGAUUUUCACAGAAUUUUAAUAAUUUUUACAACUUUUAAAUAUUAUUUAUACAUGUAUAGUUUUUAAGUUUUCUUCAAACUUUAUAUUUUUUACAAGUUUUUUUAAAAUAAUAUUAUUAAAUUCAAUUAAUUUUUAAAUAAAUUUUAUUUUUACAAUGAUAUUUUUGUUCCCAAUAAAAAAUUAAAACAAUUAUAAGUUUAGGACUUAAAUUGGAUCCAAAAAAUAAGUCAGUCUUCAAAAAGCAGUUUAAUUCAAAUAAUAAAUGAAAAUAAAAUAGGCUUAAAUACAUAUUAGGCACCAAACUUGGCAUCUUCUUUUAAUUUGAUGGUUAUGGUUUUUCGUCCCAACUUGGUACCCGAACAACUUUUCGAUCUAUUAUUUUAGUGCUUCUUUGUAAGUGCUUUCAUUUUCAAUGACGCGAUAAUACCAUAUUGUGGCACAUGAAAAAUAUUAUUUGAAAAUUUGAAAACUUCAAAUUUCUAUAAAAAUUCAAAUAUGUAAAUUUAAAAAAUAUAAUUUUGAAAUUUAUAUAAAUUUUAAAAAAAUCUCAAAAUUUAAAAUAUAUGUAAAAACUGAAAAGAAAAUUACAAAAAUAACAUAAUUUGAGAGUGUCAAGAGUUUUAAAAUUAAUGACGUCAUUAAAAAAUUUACAAUUUCAAGUACUGAAUAACUUAUUUAAAAAUUUACAUAUAAAUUUACGAUUUCAAUACUGAAAAUCAUAAAAUUCAAAGUUAACAAUAUUACUCAUCAUGUUAUACAAAAUGAAACAUGUAAAAAUAACACCAACAUAAAAAUAUAUCAAUGUCUCAAAAUCCAUAUAAUGUUAAAUAUUAAUUUUUCAAAGUCUAUAUUAGUAUAAAGCAUCUCAAAUAUGAUUAUAACACAACAAAAUAUAUGAAUACGAUGCAGAUAAACAAGUAAAUUUAGAAACAGGUAAAUUAUAAAAAUAAUUAUUUUUGUAUUCAAUAACAUAUAUUAAUCAUUUAAAUAAUAUAUUAUUAAUUUUAAAGUAAGUGCUAAUCUAAUAUUAAUCUAACAUUAAUCUUUAAUUUAUAAUUUAUUAGCAAAUAAUGGAAAGUUACAUAUUUUUUUAAAAUAUUUUAAUAACUAAAGUAAAAUAAAAAGAGUAGGAAUCAAAUUGACAAAAAUUAUAAAAAUUGAAGGAUUAAUUGUACCUAAUUUUUUAACAGAGUUAAUAGAAAUAGUUAAUGGAGAAACUGAAAAUGAACAAAUGAAAAAUAAAAAAUUAAUUUUGAGCAAAUAAAAAUAGAAAAAUUAACUCCUAAGUAUAGGAAAUUGCAUGUCUUUUGAGUCUAAAUUUGUUCAUUUCAUAAACCAAUUUUAGGACGAUAACAACAACAAAGUGGAGUACAAUGAUUUUCUAGGCUUAGAGGAUGCAUUAGAAAAAACUACCUGGGAGAAAGUUCCAGAUUACCUCAAACCUAUUGGGAUCUAAAUAAAAGAUGCUCGUGGAAAAGCUACUGGGUUUUCUCAUACUGGAAUACAAAUUCUGGGCUGCGCCGUAAUAAAAGAGAUGGAAGAUAUGUCGCUUGAGGAUUUGGGUUGGGGUACACUCAAAAAGUGGGCAGCUGUGCUGAUUACGCUAAUGAACGUGGUUUUCAAGUAGGAUUUGCUAAUAAUCUGUUGCAGAGGAAUGUGGUUGCCUACUUUCAGAAAAAGGAGCUCUCAUAGUUUAUAUUUAAUCAUGUAUCUAACAUUCUGCUAUGUUUUAAUGUCUCAUUUUGCGUCAAGUAUGUUUCUGGUUUUCAAUGUCUCAUUUGGGUCAUAACCUUAUUUAAUUUGUUUAAUCAAUUUAAUCAUAUGUGUCAUGUAUCAUACUUACAUGGACAAUCUAGUCCAUGUAAGAUCUGUACGAGUCUUUACAAUUUAAUAGGGCAGUUUUGAAUUUUUGAAAUAUUAAUAAGGAUGAAAUAGACAUUUUCAAUUAAGCAAAUUUUGACAAUAUUUUAUUUUAAUUUGAUUAAAUUCUCGUUAAUACUCUUUUUCAAUUUCUCAUAAUUUUAAAAUUUAACAAUUUCAUUACAAGUUUUAAUUAUAUUUGCUCUUUUUUUACAUAAGUCCUAGAAUUACCCAUAGCUCCUCUUUAAACCAUAAAUAAAAAGAUAAUUUGUUUCAGUGCACUUGAUCCUAUAUUCUCCUGCAUUAAUAAUAAUGUCGAUGUCAAUCGAGUUAAGACUCAAUCGAUCAAUUUCUCAAAAGCUUUUUGUCUGAAAUAAUUUAUUAUUCAUUUAAUUUUCAUAAUAAAUUUCUAUUAAUUCUAUAUUUUUCGUAAAAACUUCUAAAAUUUUAUAAUAAACAUUAGGAAUUGAUGCAAAGUAACACAGUUUUCAAAUUUUCAUUUAUCAGCUUUUUUUUCUCACUAUUAUUCUUUUAGGCUCAUGUUUUUGCUUUGUUCAUUUGUAGUUUUCUACUGUUUUUGAAUUCUCAAACUGAUAAUAAUUUUAUAAUGACUAAAAAAUAUUAGAUUUUAGAUACAAACAUAAUAGAGGGAUGAAAUUUGAAAAUUUACCAUUAUCUUCUCAUGAUUAAAUCCUUAAUAUGAGCUUAUGUUCCAAAGUUACAAAUUGAUGAUUAUUUUAUAAUGACUAAAAAAUUUAAUCCUAAAUGUAAGCAUAGUAAGGGAUUGAACUUGUAAUUUUACUAGAACUUAUUAUGCGUUUAAACAAAAAGAACAUGCGUCAUUCAUAAGCCUUCCUUCCUUUUGUUUAAAUAAAUUUAGACCUACCAAAUUGUUUUAAAAAUUUAUUUUUUUUGGGAGUGGGUGGGGAUGCGGGAAGUUGGGCGUGGCAGAACAAAGGCAGCGCGAGAGCUUAGGGGUGAUUUAAUCAAAUUUUUUUGUUAAUCAAAUUUAUGAAUUAUAUUUUAUCAUUCUAAUUUGAUUUAAAAAUUAAGUUAAGUGAAAUAAAAUUUAAAUCUGAGUCAAAUUAAGUAAAUUUAUUUAAAUUAAAUUAAUAUCAAAUUAAAAUCUUACUAUAAUAUAAUUAAUUCUAUAAAGUAUAUAAAAUUAAAACUAUAAAUAUUUGAAGUGAAAUAAGAAAAAAAAACUUUAAUCAUUAAUUAAUUUAUAUAGAUUUUAAAGUUAUUAUUUUUAAAAAUUAAAAUUUUAACUUCUUUUUAUAUAUUAUUUAUUUUUCUUAAAAAAUAUAUUUUUUAAAAAUAAAAAUUUUGAAAUUUUUAUAAAUAUAUGAAAUUUAAAAAAUUAUUUUGAUUUUUUUUUAUAUUUUUUGGUGAGAGAGAUCGAUUUGUUUAUUUUUAAGAUUGAUAAAGGUCAAAGGAGUAUUUAUAUCAAUACAUUAUUCAAAUUAUUUAAAUUAUGAAAUUCGAUUCAACUCUAACUCGAAACUUAAAUUACUUUUAUUACUUUUAUUGAUAGGGAUAAAUUUUAAAAUUAUACAUAAAUUUUGAUUUAACGUGCAAUUGUAUACAUGAGUUUUAAUUUGGAGUAAUUAUGUACGUGAAACUCUAAUUGUGGUUCAAACGUUAAUUUUAAUUUAAUCAUCUAUAUUUAAAUAAUAUAUAUAAAUUUAUUUUUAUAUUAGAGAAAUAUAAUUAUUUAUGUAUGUAAUAUAUAAAUAAAUAAUAUUAUAUCAAUAAUUAUGUUAAUAAUUUACAAAAAUCAAAUCAAAUUAAAAUUUUAUAAAUAAAAUAAUAUAAAAUUAAAAUUUAUGUAUAUAAUUACACGUUAAUCUAUAGUAUAGUUUUUAAAUUUAUCAAAUUUAUCAACGGAGUUUUUAUUUUUUUUACUCUUCCCAGAAAUUUAUGCUCGCAUUUGCUGACGCAUACUAAUUGUCUCGCUACAAAUUAAUAAGCAGAAAGUCAAUCUCGGGCAUGUCUGUCCCUUUCCAAGCUUUCCUUGCUUUUUUUUAUUCAAUCCCCAAAUUUGAAUUAGGUCAAUAUUUUCCCUUCAAGGCGUUGGCUGCCGGUGUUCUCCCCUCUUAUCUUCACCGUAGACAAAUCCAAGGAGUAGGUACUACUUAAUUUACCAGCCCAUUUUCAUCACAGUCCAUAUAUUUCUUGAUUUGAUCUUGCAGAAUUUCUUCUUUUUAUUACUUGAGGAAACUUCGUUUUGUAGGGUUUCGUUUUGAUAGUUUAUAUAUCCGUGGUUUGAUCUUUUUUUGUUCCUCAGGUCUGUGCUAAAUGAGUGAAAACCAGGACAUCCCUUGCCCAAUUGGGGUUGUUUCGGACGCUGAGAGUGAUCCCCCUGAAAAUGAACCGGAUGAUAGCCAGAUGCAUUUGUCAACUAGAAGCAAGAAAAGAAGCCGGGAAAUCGAAGUCGAAGCUAAAGGAAAAGCCCCCAAGAAAUGGACAUCGGGAAAAGAAGCUUCAACUUCCCAGCAACAGUCAAAACCGAAAAGUGAAAAGAACUGUGGGAAAGCUGUGCAAAACAGAUUGAAAAAUAUCAACCAUCAAAUUGACAGACGAAGAAAGGCGGUAAAGUAUCCUAAUUGAACUAAGUAUUUCAUAUUAGAUUCACAGUAAAAACUAAGAAUUUCAUAUUAGAUUCACUUUUUUAUUAUCUUUUAUGCAUACAUUUUGAACAUAAAAAGAUCCCAUGUCAUCUGGUAAGUAUUGGAUUAUUUUCUAAACAGACAAUACACAACAAUACAUCAGAACUGUACAGUUUGGAAAUCCUUGCAUCAGCAAUAUCUUUAUAUCUUGUUUUUUAACACUUAUUUUUGUGUAUAUAUUUGGUGGCAUGAAGUACAAAAUGAGUGAUUUGGAAUUUCUGACAUGGGUAAACCCGAAAUCCUUUCCUGUACCAUCAAAAAUUCCUGCCUCCUUCAAGCAAAUCAAAAAGGGGUGGCCAAUGCGUCCUGAUCUCCAAAGCAUUCUCCAAAAGAUCCAGGACAUCAAGGCCAAAUUCAAAGAUCAUUUUAAAGAUCAUCUUUUAACAGAAGUUACAGUGACUGAGGAAUUGGAUACAGUAGAAGCUAAGUUAAAUGAAUUAGGUCAAAAACGAUCAGAGGUACGCCAAUGAUUACAAAUUUAAUUACUAAGUUUGCUCUUAUGUUCUAUAUCUCCAAAGCUUGCUUUCAUGAUCUAAAUCUCCAAUUUAACUUUCUAAAUUGAUUUUUCAGGAACAAAAAUUUAAUUACUAAGUUUGCUGUCAUGUUCAAUAUCUCCAAAGCUUGCUUUCAUGAUCUAAAUCUCCAAUUUAACUUUCUAAAUUGAUUUUUCAGUAACAAAAAUUUAAUUACUAAGUUUGCUGUCAUGUUCAAUAUCUCAAAAGCUUGCUUUCAUGAUCUAAAUCUCCAAUUUAACUUUCUAAAUUGAUUUUUCAGGAACAAAAAUUUAAUUACUAAGUUUGCUCUCAUGUUCUAUAUCUCCAAAGCUUGCUUUCAUGAUCUAAAUCUCCAAUUUGACUUUCUAAAUUAAUUUUUCAGGAACAAACAAGGGACCCUGAUGCAGUCUUCUCUAACAAUAAGGUAUGCACAUUUCUUAUCAUUGAUAUUAACUAGCAUAGUGUUAUUAUUUCUUCAAUAAGAAACUUUUCUCGCUUGUAAAUCACUCAUGCACAGACCUGUUUUUUCAAAGGUUUUUAACGUGUUUAGAGGAAUCUUGGAUGGUUACAUUAAAUAUAUGUGUCCGAAUGUGUCAGUACAUGGACACUUCGAGCAAAAAUGAAGAGUCUGAACAACCUAGAUUUUCAGUAUCAUACCGCCUAAUGUUUAGGACUCUCCCUGCUUCUCGUGUCCUGCGUGGACUUUUGCAUUGAAAACUAUACAUAUUGUUGAAUCUAAGCAUUGUAUACAUACUUUUGCUUGUAUAUAUAUGUUUGAAGCUACAAACUUGAAUAUGCAUAUCUUGAUCUCUUUUUUUUUCUUUUUUCUUUUUUUGUAAUAUAUCAUGUCUCAAUGUAUUAAAUUCGUUCUUAGACUUACCCUUGUAAAGUUUACGUCUCUCCUUCUCAAUCUUUUAUUUAUAUUCCUCUUAAACUUCAUCAGGACACCAACAUGGGGACUGGGACUCUAAUAAAAGAGGUAUGAUAUAUGCAUACAUACAUUUAUUGCAUUGGGAAUCAGCUGUUUUAAGAAGCAUUUGGAAACUUGGAUUUCAAAAGUAGUGCAAGUUAAACGAUGGAAUGUAAAUAAAAUGUAUUGUUUAUAGUUAUUUGUCAGAUACAUAUAUUUAUUGAAUGGGUGUUAGUAAUGAAUUUGAAAUUCAUGUUUUUUCAAUUUAAAAAAUUCAAAUACAUAAUCGCAUUAGAUCUCAAUGUUAUGGAGGAAAAUGUUGCUGCAAACUCUGAUGUUAUUCUGUUAUUUUCUUAUGCCUAUUAGCUGUUGUUGAUAAGCACCGUUUUGGUUCUAUGAACCAUUAAUGAAACGGAGCGUUUUGCUGAAGCCUUCUCAUUAGUGAAACAGGCGAACUUGAGAGGGAUUACAGCUGUCGAGUAACAGCCACAGUAACCACCUCUCCUAAUUGUUGCCGAGUUUCCCAUUCAGGGAGAAUGGCUGGGGAAAAAUGGUUAUGGAGUUUUUGAAUCGAAGAUCACUCGAUCUUCUUCUUCUUCGUCUUCCCCUCUCUUUCUCUGCUAUUCUCUCUGGUUCUUGAGUGCGUUCAUAACACUCAACUGAUUUAUAUAUAAUUAUAUACACUUCAUUUUCUGUAAUUUAUAUGAUAGAUGAAAUCAAAAUCAAAAUUUUGAAACUUCAAAAUGGCUACUACAAAAUUAUGACUUGUAUUCUAUGUUUGUUGUUUUAGUUUUGUUCAGCAUAUCCAUGGCUUUUUUCUCUUGAUCAACAUCCAGAUCAAGAUCAUGGAAGUUUGUCAACUCUUGAAGGAAUACAGUCUCUAUUGAAGAGUUUUGAAAACCAACUUUAUGACGAAAACAACAAUAAAGUGUCUGUCGAAGAUUUCGAAGGAUUAGAAGAGGCAUUAAAGAAACCUAAAUCCUCGGGUCUUCUUCCUGACUACCUCAGACCUAUUGCGAACCAAAUCGAACAGGCUCGUGGGAAAGCUACUGGGAUUGCCCACACUUAUGUUCAAGUUUUUGUCUGCGCUGCUAUCAAGGAGAUGCAAGAUUUUGCACCCGUGGAGAUGGAUAUGUUGAAAAUAUGGGCAGCGGCGCUCAAUUAUGCUAGGCAACAUGGUUUUCAAGUGACAUUUGCUGAUCAUUUACUGAGGAAGAAUUUUGAUGCCUACAUUCAUAAUAAAUUUGGUUUGGGUUGGUUCGGGUUAUGAAAUUUUCCAAUUAUUUUGGAUUGGAUCUUUCUCUGGAUUUAGUCAUUUUAUGCUCUGGUUGUUUCAAGUUUGCUUCAAUUUGGUUGUCCCAAACGUAGAAACUUUGUGGUUUUCGGUAUGAAAUUGUGUAGUUUGUUGUGUAAUUUGUAUCGUGUACGUGUGUGUAUGUUGGUGUUAUGUAAUCGUCUUAAUAAGACUUAUUUUAUGUUGGUGGUAUUUUUCAUGUUCCAUUUUUUACCGGUAUUUGGAAUUUGAAAUAUGUAAUUGGGUUCAUGUGUUUGUUUUGUUGAACCUAGAGGUGUUCAUGUGUUUGGAUUUGAGUUGGGUUUAAGAAUAAUAUCAACAUACUUUAUUUUUGUUUAAAUUCGGCUCGAUCAAAAUUUAGGCUUAAAAUUUUACUUAAGUCCGUUUAUAUUUGCAAAAGACCAAUUGAAACUUAUUUUAAGUCUGCUUAUAUUAUUUUUUUAAAAAUAUUUAUAUCAUAUUAUUUUAAUAUUUAAUAAUUUUAUACAUUUUUUAUUUAUUAAAUUUUUUAUAUAGUGAUCUUAACAUCAUUUUAAUGUUUAUACUAGAGUAGUAUUAUAUAUUUAGUAUAGUUUUAUUUUUUUAAUAUGUUUUAAAUUGCAUAAUAUAUAAAAAUAACAUAAUAUAAAGUAUCAUAAACUUAAAAUGGGUUGGGUUAGGUUCGGUCGGGCCGGGCAUUACAUGUUCAAACUCGAGCUUAGCCCGUAUUUUAAACGAGUUUUAUUUUUUUUGUUCAAGUCCAUUUUUCGGAUCUAAAAUUUUUUCCAAACCCUCCCAAAUUUCGGAUGGGCUUUCAAACCUAUACGAGUAACACAAACCAUUAACAAGUCUAUUUCCACCUGUGAUGUAUAUGUGUUCAAAGGCAAAUUUUGUUAGUUUGAACAUGCAAAUUCAAUUCAUGAUUACGAUAUUAUUAUUCAAUUGAGCUUAAAGUAAGAGGAUUAGUUAGACUUUUUUUUAUGCAUGCACGAUAGACUCAAAAGAAUUAGUAUCGCAAAGUCAAAAUCAACGCUAAGUUGAAAUUAAACAUUUAUUUAGGGCUAGUUUACUAUUACUUUUCAAAAUUGCUUUUAAAGUGCCGUCAAAAGUUAUUUUUGAAAAGUUUAGUUUAAGAUUUAAUGUUUAGUAUUGUUGUCAAAAAGUACUUUAAAAAAUAAAAUAUUUAUUUUUGAUAUGGUAUUAUUAAGUAACAAAUAUGUGUUUAAAUUAUUUAAUAUUAUUGUAUUUUAGUAAGAAUAUAAAAAUUAAUAAUUUAUUAUAACUUAUUGUUAAUACUUUAAUAUAUGAAAUAUAAAUUUUAAAUAUUUUUUAAGCAAUAAAUAUUAAUUAUUUAUAAAAUUUAAUAUAAACUUGUUUGGCACAACCUUUCUUCUAAAAGUAAUUUUUUUAAGCAAUACUAAAUAAGGCUAUACAAGACUUUGUUUCAAAGAAUUUUCAAAUAAAAAAAUAUUGUUAUUGUGAUACGAACUCGCCCGAGGACUCAACCAACUCCAAACGAGAUCCAAUUGAACUGCCAACUACUUAAUUAUAUUUGAAAAAGUUCUAGAUGUGUUUACUAUAGGAUUAUUAGAAGAUUAAAUUUGUUAUUAGAUCAAUAAACAAAACUUAUAUUAGCACUUCCAUUACUAUUCAAACGAACUACGAUGAAUGUUCAGUGAUGAAAAUAUUUGAUUUUGUAUAGAUUUUGUAUAGUUUAAUGACCAAAAUGUAAUUCUAAGCCUACAUAAGAGACUAAACAUGGAAUUUAACCUCUACAAAAUUUCACAUAAUCUAAUAUCCCUACUACCCUCUUUUUCUCGCCCCAAAAAUUGCGUAGCAGAGCUCGAUCUUCUCUUUUUCUCGAGCUUUCUUUAAUGGCACUUGCCCAUUCCUUUUUUUUUAAUAAAAUUCUCACCGACGACUUUCUUGGUUUCAUCCGCUUUACACUUUGGUAGUUCCCCCUUCUCUCCUCUUCGCCGCUGUAGACACAUCAAAUCGGUAAGCACGGCUGAAUUUUUUUUCAACUGUUAUUCGAACCCCGGGUUCACGGCUGAAUUUAUCAAUUCAUUAUGUCUUGUUUUGGUUUUGCUUUUAUUUGGUAAAUUUCCUUUCCUAUCGGUAAAACUUCAAACAGUAAAACCUUGAAAAUAAACACCAAAAUCUCAAAAUUAAGGGGCUCCAGAUUUGGCCGAGGAAUCUGCAAUCACAUCCUCUGAGCAUACGUGAAAGAGACCACCCCCAAUCUCCUUGUAAGCGUUUCGUUUUAGUAGUUUUAUAUAUCUGUUGUUUGAAAGAACAUUCGGAUGCCUUGUUCUGAAUUGGGAAAAAUAUGUUGUUGUUUUUGUUCAAUUAUUUUAUCUGAUUUUAUUUAAAUUCUCAUAUCCGUACAAGAUAACUGGCAGAGGCAACAGUAGGGAUCCUACUGAAAUGGACCUUCAACAGCUUCAAAAUGAUACGCCAUUAGAGAGAUACAAUGCUGAAAAGAACCGGUACAAGGAAAACUGUUAUAUUGGUGAAUCAUCAACUUCCCAGCAACAACCCGAACCAGAAAUGAAAGAAGAGCAUCACUUUCCAGAAGAGCGUAGUUAUUCCAGAUCUGUAUCGGAACGGAUCGAAACUCUCAUGGACAGGAUUUACAGACAGAAAAUGACCGUAAGCGUCAUAAUUGAAUUUAGUAAUUCAUAUUCAAUUCGCAUUAUUGCUAUUUACUAUACAUACAUGUUGAAGGUAAAAAGGUCCCUCAUUGACUGACUUGCAAGGAUUGGACCUUGCUUUAUAAAGCACGGUUUAUCCUUACCCUAUGGUACCUUUUCUCUAUGGACAAUAUCGUGAGAACGUUUGUCUCCAAUCUAACACAGAAUAUUUUGUUUCUUAAUACUUGUUUUGUGUGUAUAUUUGGUGAAACGAAGGACCAGGAGGCAGAUAUGAAAUCUAUAUUAUGGUUAUAUCAUAGGGUGAAGACAUUACCCCUAGUCAAUGCCCAAAAUAUCAAGACUAACGAUGGCAAGUUCAAGGAUGGCCAUUUGGCAGAACAUGAAAUGAUGAACAAGUUCCUUGAAACAUAUGAGUUAAAGCAAAAUUUGCUAUACGAAAAAUUAGACCUACAACUAUCUGAGGUAAUCUAAUGUUUACGAAUCUAAUAACUAAGUUUGAUUUCAUGAUCUAAAUCUCCAAUUUAAUUUUCUAACUUGCUUUUUCAGGAUUCGGGAAAUGCGAGUUUACCAACCGAGCAAAAUGAGGUAGGCUAAUAUUUACAAAUCUAAUUGCUAAUGGUCAGUUUAGCAUUGCUUCUUAGAAACACUUUUUGGGACAAAAAACACUUUUGAGAAAAAAACCAUUGCUAAACAAGAUGCUUUGAGUUUUUGAAAAGCAUCACUAAACUAGCCCUAAGUUUGAUUUCAUCAUCCAAAUCUCCAAUUUUAACUUUCAAACAUGGUUUUUCCGGACUCAGAAAAAGCGAGUUUACCAACUGGGCUUCUUACGGUAGGUUUCAAUAUCCCAAGUAAUUCUUAAACUUGCCCUUAUUUUCAUCUCUCCUUCACAAUCAUUUUUUUUUUUCUCUCGUACAUUUCUGGAUUAAAUGUGAAGACUCUCAGAAAGGAGGUAUAAUACAUAUACAUACUGCAUUGAACAUCAGCUGGCCUAACUAGCAUUUGAGAACAUGGAUGGUAUAAGGUAUCUGAUAGAACACACACAUACACUACAUUGAACAUCACUGGGUCUAACUAGCGUUUGAGAGCAUGGAGGGUAUAGGCUAUAUGAUAGAACACUUAUAAAUGUAUCAAAUCCAUAAAUUUGUUCAAUGCAUAUUAGUAAAUUCAUAUAUUUUAUAUUGUUCAAAUACAUCACGUUAAAUCUCAAUCCUACUCGUCGUUCUCAUAAUUUAUACAGUAAAUCAGAUCCAAAUCCAAAAUUUUAAAAAUUCAUGUUUCGAAUAUGACCUUUUUUGUGUGUGUUUAUUGUCUUAGUUUUCUUUGGCGUGUGCUCCUGCUCAAGAUCGUGGAAGUUGCAAGUCUUUUGAGUCUAAAUUUGUUCAUUUCAUAAACCAACUUUACGACAAUGACAACAACGAAGUGGAGUACAAAGAUUUUCAAGGCUUAGAAGAUGCAUUAGCAAACACUGCAUGGGGGGAAGUUCCAGACUACCUCAAAUCUAUUGGGAUCCGAAUAGAAGAUGCUGGUGGGAAAGCUACUGAGUUUUCUCAUACUGGAAUACAAAUUCUGGUCUGCGCUGUAAUUAAAGAGAUGGAAGAUAUGUCACUUGAGGAUUUGGAUUGGGGUACAUUGAAAAAGUGGGUAGCUGCUUUGAAUUACGCUAAUGAACAUGGUUUUCAAGUAGCAUUUGCAAAUAAUCUGUUGCAGAGGAAUGUGGUUGCCUACUUUCAGAAAAAGGAGCACUAUCAACUCUCAUAGUUUAUAUUUAAUCCUGUAUCUAACAUUCUGCUAUGUUUUAAUGUCUCAUUUUGCGUCAAGUAUGUUUAUGGUUUUCAAUGUCUAAAAUAGUGAGUUGUUGUAUUAUGGUUUUCAAUGUCUAAAAUAGUGAGUUAUUGUAUUGGGUAUGUUUUUGAGUCAUAACCGUAUUUAAUUUGUUUAAUACAUCAAAAACCCCCAAAAAAAUUAAAAUAAAUAUUUUUCAAUAAAUAAAAAUAUAUGUAUUUAAAUAACACUAAAAUAAAUACAGGCUGAACUAGCAAAUGUCUCUAAAGUCUAAAAUAGUAGCAAAAUUAAUAAUAAAACAAAAAUUAUGCGAUAUCAAAACAAUAAUAACAAAAUUGAUGUAAUAUAAUAGUGAAAUGACAGAAAAAUAAUGACAAAAUAGUAAAAAAAUAACAGUAAAUUUUUUUACAAAUUUGGGUUGGGUUGGAUCGAGACCAGAAAAAGCUUACUUGAGACUCAAGCCGUGUAGAAAACAUGUCUUAUUUUUUUGUCCAAGUUUAUUUUUUAGACUUAUAUUUUUGCUCACACACUCACUUUUCGGAUAAGCCUUCAGAUUGAAUCGGGUAACCCAAUCCAUGAUCAGGUCUAAUGUAAAGUAACACAGUCUUCAAUUUUAUUAUUUUUAUUUCUAGCUAUUGUUCUGUAUAUACUAGUAUGAUUCCUAUGCUUUGCUUUGGGUUGAUUAUUUAUUUGUAUCAAAUCAUAGAAUGAAAUUUGAAGGUUAUAAUAUGAUUUAAGUUCUUGUACACUUCAUACAUUUAAAUGUUAGUCUAUUUAUUUCAUUUUUUAGGAAUAUAAUCCUACUUUUCAAAAUAAAAAAUCCAGGUUCAAUCGUUAUUGCCAUUAAAAUUAUUCAUUUAAAUUCAAUGGUGUAACAUUUUAAAAUUGAAAAUUUUCACUCAAUAGUGAUAUAAUAAAAAAUUACGUUAAAAAUGCUUAUGUGAUUUUUUUUCUUAAAAACACGCAUUUGAACACGUCAUGAUAGAAUAAUUAUUUUGUUGGAAUAGUGUUCUUUAAAAAAUGACUACAACAUUGUAAUUGAAAUAAUUAACAAUGUUAAUUAUUUAAACUAAUUAUGACAUUAAAAAAUUAGAAGGAUAAAAUUAUGUAAAAAAAUUAAAGUAUAUGAAUUUAAUCCAAGUUUUAGCAUAGUGUAGGGGCUAAAAUUAAAAUUUGACUAUUGUCUUAUAAUGUAAAAAAAAAGCAAGGCAAACCCAAAAGAUGUGUUCGUCUCUAAGAUUUUAAAGUAUUCAAGUUAUAUAUAAUAACAUAACAUUUUAAUUAUAUUAACUAUUUGAACUAAGUAAUAAUAAUAUGUAAAUAUAGGACCGAAUUAUGUUAACAAUUAAAAUAUAAAGAUUAAAAUUUUAAUUUAAAUAUAAUAGAAGGAUUAAAAUUAAAAUUAAACUAUUUUGUAAAUUGCAAAAGAGAAAAAAAGAAGAGAGGCAUGGGUGGGUGUCCAUGUGUCAAUAAUAGAAGGACUUUCUUUUUAGAUAUAGGUACUGGUAUAGUUUCUCAAGAGUUAAUUAUUUAUUUUGAUAAAUUAUGGAGCAAAAAUUUGAAGGUUGAAAUAUACUGUAAUUUUAUGCACAUUCUAUAAAUUUAGAAUUUAGUCACAUAAUUUUUUUUGGGUCUUUAGGUCUAAUUUAGUCAGUGAAAUAUGAAAAGUUACAAAAUGAUCAUCAACUAUUUGAUUUUGUCAUUUUUAAUCAUUUAUCGUUAAAUAGCUAACCAAAAGAUGACAUGACAUGAUAACUUUUAAAAUUAACAUAACAGUGAAUUUAACCAUCAAAAUUUAUACAUUGUAUCAAUUUUAAUAUUAGGUUCUAAAAAUUUUAAUUCUUAACAUUUACACAUGGUGUAAUUUAAUCAUUUUUGUUGUUUUACUUUUCUUUGUGAUCAUUUUGCCUAAAAAACAAAGAAAAAAAAGAAAAACAUAUUUAUCACUUAAAUUUGAUUGAAAAUAUCUCCAAAAUUCUAAUAUAAUAAAUUUCAUCAUUUAUCAUUCUUUAAAAUUAAUCCUCAAUGAUAUAAAAGAAAGUAAAAUUGCGAAAAAAACUAAAUUAUUAUUAUGGAUAAAUAUUAAGUGUCGAAACAAUUUUUUGAAAACAAAAAUUUAGUUGUCGACUUUAAAAAAACAAAAAUUGGAGUCACCACCGAUCCUUUAUUGAGGUGUGAUCAGCUCACCUCAAAAACUAUUUUGGUCUGCGAAUUUUGAGAAAACAUGUUCGGGAGUCAGUUAUGCACGAGGAAGGAUUAGCACCCUCAUAAUGCCCAAAAUCGGUACCGAAUUGAUUAUUUAAUGUCUUAAUGUCAAAAGUUUGAAAAGAUUUUUAAAAUAUGAUCCUUGUAUUUAAAAAACUUGUAUAAAUCAAAUUACAUAUUAAAAUCCUCUUAUUUAUGGAAUAUUCGAUUGUUUAAGUUAGAUGAAGAAAUCGAGACUCAAUACGUUAGAGUACAAUUUCUCAAAAUUCUCAAACUUUGAAUAUUAUCUUUUUUAUAGAAAAAAUUUCAUCUCAAGAAAACAAUAUGUCAUACCCAAUACAUUAGGACACAGCAUGUUGAAUUCCCAAAAAUGAUUUUAAUUUAUGCGUUUUGAAAAAAAUAUUCUCGAUUAUUUAGGGUUAACAAAGAAAAUUAGAACCCAAUACGUUAAAACUUAAUCUUCUCGAAAAUCCCAAAUAUCAAAUAUUACAUUGUCUUGAAAGCCUUUGAACAAAAAUAGUUUUAAUGCUUUAAUGAAAUCAAACACAUUUUCUUUAAAAGUAUAAUAAAAUGUUAAUAUACAACAUGAAACAAAUACUUUAAUUUAAAAUAUAUAUGAGUAAAUUUUGAAAAUAUGUACAUGAAUAUAUUAAAACAUGUAUAUAUAAGUAUACAUAUAUAUAUAAAAACAUGAAAUACACAAAAAAAAAAACUUAUAAUAAUUCUAAAAAAGUACAUAUAUACAUAUUAUUGAAAAUGCAUGUAUAUGUGCAUGGAUUAUGAAAUAUAAAAGAUGUAUAUGUAUUAUAAAUUGUCAAUGCAUAUAUAUAUACACAUGAAUACAAAAGUUAUGAAAAUAAAAUAUAUAUAAAAUAUGUACAUGUAUUAGUAAAUUAUGAAAAUAGGUAUAUAUAUAUAUAAAAUAUGCGGAAAAUAUAUUUAUAAUAAUUUUGAAUAGUGUACGAAUAUAUAUAUUAUAAAAAAAAUGUAUAGAUAUGUAUGGAUUAUAAAAUAUGGAAAAUGUAUAAAUAUUAUAAAAUGUAUACGUACAUAUAUAUAUUUGUGAAGGAAAAAAAAAGAAUAUUUAGAUAUAUAUAGAUACGUAUAUAAAUUGUAAAAUAUAUAUAAAAAAUGUAAAUACAUAUGUAUAUAUAUAAAUUAUAAAAAAUAAUAUACGUAUAUUUUUAAAAUGUUUACAUAAAUAAAUGGUUAUAAUAAUAAUAAUAAAUAAUGAUAAUACUAUUGAAGUUAACUAAUUUAAUAGCAAAAAGGACAAAGAUGACUAAUUUAAAACUUAAAACAGUAAUUUGGGGCGAAUCCGCAAUUAAAUAAAAAAUAAAAACAGAAAUAGGAUCAAAAUGAAUGCACAGACAAUAAAAAGGGACCAAAAUAAAAAUAUUCCUGCCCUUCAAAACGCAGCAUUUUGCGCAAGACUUAAUUGAAAUCAAAGAAAAAUUUUGGGCAAAAUUGAAAAAUAAAAAAACUUGAUUACAAAGUGAUAGAAAAUCGGAAGGGCUAAAAGUGAAAUUACCCCCUACAUUAGGAAAUGCGCGGAUCUUGGGACCGGGUCGGGUCGACGCGCGGAUCCUCCCUCACAAAACGGCGCCGUUUUGCUUUAAUAUUAAAAUAAAAAAAGGGUUCUGUUUCAUUUCCUUUUUUCUUUUUUUUUUUAAAUAAACAGAGGGGAAAAGGGGGAAAAAUUAUCUGACCUUAGCACCUCCACGCCGCCGCCGUCAGCCCACCGUGAAGCCACCACGACCGGCGCUCUGCACCAGUUAAAGCGCUUUUUCCUUUUUUUUUUUCUUUAAAAAAAGUAUGAACAAAUAUCAGAGGGAAAAAAAAACUCGGAAAAAAAAAGAAAAAAAACAAAUCAACCUCAAAAUUGCUGUCUUUCUCUGUUUUUUAAUAGUUUUUUACAUAAUCCCCACAAUCCAUUUCCAAUCGGCCUUUUAUACCGAAAUAAAUAAUAAUAAUAAUAAUAAUAAUAAUAAUAAUAAUAAUAAUAAUAAUAAUAAAAUCCUAUAUCUUGCUUGUUUGCUGUGGUUCGUGGUUUGUUUGCAGGAACAACGUGCGUGGUGCGGGGCGACGUUCUGCGACGUUCGCGGAGUUGCUGUGCGUGGGGUGAGGGGCAGUUGCUGCGACACAGGCGGCUGCUAAAGGGUUUCAGAAACCCUAAGUUUCUGGGAUGUUCUUCCAAAUCGGGCUAGGGUUUGGGCCUAGUGUAUUGGGCCAAGGGUAUUUGGGUAAUGUAAUUUUUGGAUUUUGGACUGUUUUAUUGUUUUGUUUUUUUAUAUCUAUUUGUUUGGGCCCGGGCCUAAAAUUGUGUAUUUACAUUAAGGAUUAAAAUUAUUAUUAUGUUAAUUUUAAAAUUAAUUAAUAAUUUAAUCACCAAUGAUAAAAAAGAAAUAGUUAAAUUACCAUUUUAUAAUUUUAUAAUUUUAUUGACUGAAUAAUUGGGUCACUAAUCCUACAGUUUACCUAUUUUUUAAUCAGUUCAGCCGCACUAACUAUCUUUUAGUUAAAACCCUACCGAUAAAUUGCAUCAUUUUCAGCUUUACUAUUCAGCGGUGGCUGCCCCUUUUCUUCUCUACCCGUGAGAGCUACUGAAAUUUGCAGACUUUCUUUUCUUCAUUUCGUAGUCGUUUCGAGUUUCCUUAGUUUAUAAUUUUCUUUCAGUUGUUUGAAGAAAACAUUUCGGUGUUGUUGAUUUGCUUGCUCUUUUUGUUUUUUAUUUGAUUUUUUUAACGACUCAUCAUCUGAUCUGAGUUAAAAUUUUCAGAUCUGUACAGUUUUUUUUGAAUAGUCUCCAAGCAACGAUGGACCUUCAACAGCUUGCGAGGGAGACAUCUUAAGCACAAUAUGACUAAACGAACCUCCAUUGUUGGCAGGAAGCAAGAAAAGAAGUCGGGAGAGAAUUUUCGAUCGGUUCCCUUUAGCUUCUCAAAACUUAUCCGAAAUCCUUUCCCGGCUUCUUUUCUUGCUUUCGUUUAAUUGUUCGUUUGCGUUGUGCUUCAGAUGUCGCACUUCCAGGCUGUUUGAAGUUGUUUGUAGGCUAACCUAAUCUCCAUGGAAGAAAUCCAGUAGCCGAAGUUGAGGUGAAGUGGAGAUUGUUCUAAAUAACACUAUAAGUUCGAACAAUUCGAUCAGCAACGAUCAGAUCUACGCCAAUAUUUACAAAUCUAAUUAUCAAGUUUGAUUUCAUUAUCUAAAUCUUAAUUUAACUUUUUAACUUGUGGACUUUGUUGCAUCCUUCAGUAAUAAUAUGGUAUCCACAUUUUUUUGUCAUUGAAAUUAACCAUUACAUAGAAUAUUUCUUAUGUAUAGAUCGCAUUAUAAUUAUGUUGUCCUUUUUCAUACACAGAUUUGAUUUUAGACCUAAUACAAAGACUUUGAUUUGAUUUGGUUGUGAGUUUUGAACAAUGGUUCACUUUUCAAAUUUUGUUAGAUGAAUCUUCGAUCUUAUACUUGUAUCCGAAUGUGUCAUUUAUAAAUAUAAUGUCUUUCCUCAUUCACUAGACUUGCAAAAAAGUCAUUUUCAACUUUGAUUCGGAUGUUAAUGUCGAAUACAUGUUUGCAUCUAACAUGGGUAUAUUUAACUUCUUGUAAGGUUUUUUAUAUGUUGAAAAUGGACACUUCUAGCAAAAUGUAGAAUCCGAAACGGGCCAGAAAUCUAAUGUUUAGGACUUUCCCUGCUUCUCCAGUCUUGCAUGGAUUUUUGCAUUGAAAACUAUAAAUAUUGUUGAAUCUUUGUAAGCACUGUAUACUUACUUUUGCAUGGUUAUACCAUUGGAGCUACAAACUUGAAAAUGCAUAUAUUGACCUCUGUUUCCUUUUUGCUGUAUAUAUCAUAUGCUUCAAUGUCUCAAGUCAUUUUUAGAUCUUCACAUUGAUCGUUUAUUCAUAUUUCUUUUAAAUUUCUUAAAUUUCAGGUGGUAGCAACGAGAGAUUAGGAAAAGAGGUAUGGGUAUUAUUUCUCUGUUGCAAUAUAUGACAAUAACUUGGAACAUUCUUCUCUGUUUUUUUUUUGUCAACCGAAGUGGAUGUUUCAGAUUUCAAGUGCUUAAAAAAGCACUGAAAAACUAAUCGCUGUAAGAUUCGAGCGGGCUCGUGGAAAAGCUACUGAGGUUUCUCAUACCGGCAUCUGAAUUCUGGUCUGUGCAGCAAUGCAAGAGAUGGAAAAUGUGUCUCGGAAAAUUCGGGCCACGUUGAAGAAUUGGGGAGUGCAAUCAACAAGGUAAUGAUUGCUGAUCUCUUUUGGCUUUAGCUUUGUGAAUUCCUUUUAUUAAAAAAAAAACAAAGAACGUAAAAAAAUAAAAUGAAAUUAAAACCCAACAAAAAAGCGGUAUUCCAAAAAAAGAAGGCAUGAAUUUAAGAGUCCGGGUUUAUAAUCGAGCUAAGCUAAGACUCCUUUUGAAUGGACUGCGGUCACACCUACAAUUGUUACACCUACAAUAAUUAAUUUCAUUUCUUAUCUCACACCUACAAUUUUUUUAACGGUACUUUAAUUAAAUCUAUUAAAAAAAUAGAUACAUGUUCCUCUCAGAUUGUGAAAUAACAAUAAUUUAUUAUUUUUGUAAUUUUUUUUUAAGUUUGGACAAAAAAAUCUUGAGUAUUAAACUAAGAGAAGAUGGUAAAUUUGGGGCGAAAUGCUUAUUUAAACCUACUUCCUUUAAAUUUAUUAUUUGGGUAACCUAUUUUUGGGCUUUAAAUUUAUUUUUUUUAUAUUAAGGCUUGAAUUUUCUUUUUAUCUAAGUUGGGUCAUGAACUAAUUAAUUGAUCUCACAUUAAGGCCUGAACUUUUUUUGUGCUCAAGUUAGACCUCGAAUUAGUUGAAUUUAGUAAUGUCAUUAUAAUAAAUGUAAAAAUGAAACUUAUAAAGUAAACUAUUUAAAUAUUUUAAAAUUUAUUAAAAAUUAUGCAAAUAUAAAUAAUAUUUGUAAGUUGCCAAGUUGUUAUGCUAAGAUAACCUAUAAAAUGGAUAAUGACAUGAGAGAUGAUUAACAAGAACAUUAAAACAAAUCUCAUAAACAACUUGUUCAACCACAAAAUAGAAAUCUUGCUUCCAAAAUGAUCAUUUUAUUUUAAGUGACAUGUCAAUGAUACAUUGUAUCUGUUUAUGAAUAAAUAACAGAUAAAUGUCAGCCCAAAGCAAUCAUAUUUCGAUAUUGUAUUUGUCUAAAUCGAUUACUGAACGACUAGUCAAAGAAAAUGGUAGAUAAUCACAUAAUUAAUUAAAAAAUAUUAUUAAUAAGAUGUUUUUUAACCAAAAAAUAACAAUUUUUUAAAGAAAAAUAAAUUAUUGAUUAAUUAAUAAAACAAUCUCAGUGUGAUCCAAGAAGAUAUUUAGAACCGACAAGAGAAGAAAAAAAAUAGAUGUGGUGUCGUUGAUUUACUUGUCAGUUCUAUUGUUUUUGAUUCAUCAUCUGAUCUGAGUUAAAUUUUCCAGAUCUUUACAAGAUGAUCAACAGCAACAAUGGGGAUUUGUUACAUAUGCUAUGAUGGACCUCUAACAGCUUGAGAGCGUGACAAUUCCACGUGAGUGAAUCUCUAUUGUUACUCGAUGAUAACUGGGUGAACUCUAUGUCGGAUAAAGGCAAAAAUAAUGUGACCGUGAAGAUGUUUCAGAUAAGUUCCUUUGCUUCUUUUCUGGCUUCGGCUAACAUAAAGUUCACCUGGUUAUCAUCGGGUAACAAUGGUGGUUGUUUAACUUUAAACAAUAAACAAUCGGAUGAUUCGCGUGGUUCAAAUGUCACUCUCUCAUGCUGUUUAAGGUAC